rnacentral:piRNA from 2 species
UCCAGCUCCUUCCACAGGUGCUCAGC